rnacentral:tmRNA from 1 species
GGGGGCGAUCGGUUUCGACGUGGGGACUGAAGGACAAUUUGCGUGUGAUGGCGCCCGAUCCAUCUCUAAGCGGGCCGUUACUAAUUGCGAACGACAACGCGAUCGCCAUGGCUGCCUGAAAAACAGCCUAGCCGUCCGAGGGUGAGAUUGUCUUGGUAACCUAAGGGCGUCACUACAAAGACUGGGUCACGCGAGAGCGCUCUCGAUAGCGUGACCGAGAUCAGUGAGAGCUAGGUCGUGGCCGAAUCCACGAACCGUGUCUCAGAGGUUCUGAGGCUACGCACGUGAACGAAGGUUGUUUGGAUGCCUUGCGGACCGGGGUUCGAUUCCCCGCGCCUCCACCA